rnacentral:rRNA from 1 species
AGAGUUUGAUCCUGGCUUAGGAUGAACGCUAGCUACAGGCUUAACACAUGCAAGUCGAGGGGCAGCAGGACGAUAGCUUGCUAUUGUUGCUGGCGACCGGCGCACGGGUGAGUAACGCGUAUCCAACCUUCCCCUUAGUAGGGCAUAGCCCGGUGAAAAUCGGAUUAAUACCCUAUGUUGUGUCAUGAGGACAUCUGAAUAACACUAAAGAUUUAUCGCUAAGGGAUGGGGAUGCGUCCGAUUAGGUAGUCGGCGGGGUAACGGCCCACCGAGCCCUCGAUCGGUAGGGGUUCUGAGAGGAAGGUCCCCCACACUGGUACUGAGACACGGACCAGACUCCUACGGGAGGCAGCAGUGAGGAAUAUUGGUCAAUGGGCGUAAGCCUGAACCAGCCAAGUAGCCGUGCAGGAUGACGGCCCUAUGGGUUGUAAACUGCUUUUAUACGGGGAUAAAGUGAGGGACGUGUCCCUUAUUGUAGGUACCGUAUGAAUAAGGACCGGCUAAUUCCGUGCCAGCCGCAGC